rnacentral:rRNA from 1 species
UUGCCUCAGUAACGGCGAGUGAAGCGGCAAUAGCUCAAAUUUGAAAUCUGGCUCCUUUGGGGCCCGAGUUGUAAUUUGGAGAGGGUGCUUUGGUGUCGGCAGCAGCCUAAGUUCCUUGGAACAGGUCAUCAUAGAGGGUGAGAAUCCCGUAUGUGGCUGAUUGUCUUCGCCGUGUAAAGCCCCUUCGACGAGUCGAGUUGUUUGGGAAUGCAGCUCUAAAUGGGAGGUAAAUUUCUUCUAAAGCUAAAUAUUGGCCAGAGACCGAUAGCGCACAAGUAGAGUGAUCGAAAGAUGAAAAGCACUUUGGAAAGAGAGUCAAAAAGCACGUGAAAUUGUUGAAAGGGAAGCGCUUGCAGCCAGACGUGCCUGUAGUUGCUCAUCUGGGGAUUUCCCCAGUGCACUCUUCUAUGGGCAGGCCAGCAUCAGUCCGGGCGGUUGGAGAAAGGCCUGUGUCACGUAGCUGCUUUCGGGCAGUGUUAUAGGGCAGGUGGAAUACGACCAGCCUGGACUGAGGUCCGCGCAUCUGCUAGGAUGCUGGCGUAAUGGCUGUAAGCGGCCCGUCUUGAAACACGGACCAAGGAGUCUAACAUCUAUGCGAGUGUUUGGGUGUCAAGCCCGAGCGCGCAAUGAAAGUGAACGGAGGUGGGAACCCUCGGGUGCACCAUCGACCGAUCCUGAUGUCUUCGGAUGGAUUUGAGUAAGAGCAUAGCUGUUGGGACCCGAAAGAUGGUGAACUAUGCCUGAAUAGGGUGAAGCCAGAGGAAACUCUGGUGGAGGCUCGCAGCGGUUCUGACGUGCAAAUCGAUCGUCAAAUUUGGGCAUAGGGGCGAAAGACUAAUCGAACUAUCUAGUAGCUGGUUCCUGCCGAAGUUUCCCUCAGGAUAGCAGUAACGUUUUCAGUUUUAUGAGGUAAAGCGAAUGAUUAGAGGCCUGGGGGCUGAAACAGCCUUCACCUAUUCUCAAACUUUAAAUAUGUAAGAAGUCCUUGUUUCUUCAUU